rnacentral:rRNA from 1 species
GUCCACGCCGUAAACGAUGGAUGCUAGCCGUUGGCCGGUUUACCGGUCAGUGGCGCAGCUAACGCUUUAAGCAUCCCGCCUGGGGAGUACGGUCGCAAGAUUAAAACUCAAAGGAAUUGACGGGGGCCCGCACAAGCGGUGGAGCAUGUGGUUCAAUUCGACGCAACGCGAAGAACCUUACCAGCUCUUGACAUGUCUCGUAUGGGUUUCAGAGAUGAGACCCUUCAGUUCGGCUGGCGAGAACACAGGUGCUGCAUGGCUGUCGU